UUCAUGUUUUUGUGGAGAAAAUAAAAACCCUAAAUCUUAUCUGGUGUUUCAUAAUUUAAAUUACUAUAAAAAAAGGUGGCACAUGUAAUUAAAGGAACAUAUUCAAUGUGUACUCCAAUUUGAGUACUAAUAUGAGCUUUAUUUGUUUUGAUCAAAACUGUAGGUACACUGGCAUAAGCCCAAUAAACUUUUGUUAACUGCUUGUAU